rnacentral:rRNA from 1 species
UACGAAGGGGGCUAGCGUUGUUCGGAAUUACUGGGCGUAAAGGGCGCGUAGGCGGUACUUCAAGUCAGGCGUGAAAGCCCCGGGCUCAACCUGGGAACCGCGCUUGAGACUGGAGAACUAGAGUUCGGGAGAGGAUGGUGGAAUUCCCAGUGUAGAGGUGAAAUUCGUAGAUAUUGGGAAGAACACCGGUGGCGAAGGCGGCGACCUGGUCCGAUACUGACGCUGAGGCGCGAAAGCGUGGGGAGCAAACAGG